UACGUAGGGAGCGAGCGUUGUCCGGAAUUACUGGGUGUAAAGGGAGCGUAGGCGGGGAUGCAAGUUGGAUGUUUAAACUAUCGGCUCAACCGGUAAUUGCAACCAAAACUGCAACUCUUGAGUGAAGUAGAGGCAGGCGGAAUUCCUAGUGUAGCGGUGAAAUGCGUAGAUAUUAGGAGGAACACCAGUGGCGAAGGCGGCCUGCUGGGCUUUAACUGACGCUGAGGCUCGAAAGCGUGGGGAGCAAA
rnacentral:rRNA from 1 species